rnacentral:rRNA from 1 species
UGGGAGGACCAUCUCCUAAGGCUAAAUACUCUCUAGUGACCGAUAGUGAACCAGUACCGUGAGGGAAAGGUGAAAAGCACCCCGGAAGGGGAGUGAAAUAGAACCUGAAACCGUGUGCUUACAAGUAGUCAGAGCCCGUUAAUGGGUGAUGGCGUGCCUUUUGUAGAAUGAACCGGCGAGUUACGAUUUGAUGCAAGGUUAAGCAGUAAAUGUGGAGCCGUAGCGAAAGCGAGUCUGAAUAGGGCGUUUAGUAUUUGGUCGUAGACCCGAAACCAGGUGAUCUACCCUUGGUCAGGUUGAAGUUCAGGUAACACUGAAUGGAGGACCGAACCGACUUACGUUGAAAAGUGAGCGGAUGAACUGAGGGUAGCGGAGAAAUUCCAAUCGAACCUGGAGAUAGCUGGUUCUCUCCGAAAUAGCUUUAGGGCUAGCCUCAAGUGAUGAUUAUUGGAGGUAGAGCACUGUUUGGACGAGGGGCCCCUCUCGGGUUACCGAAUUCAGACAAACUCCGAAUGCCAAUUAAUUUAACUUGGGAGUCAGAACAUGGGUGAUAAGGUCCGUGUUCGAAAGGGAAACAGCCCAGACCACCAGCUAAGGUCCCAAAAUAUAUGUUAAGUGGAAAAGGAUGUGGCGUUGCCCAGACAACUAGGAUGUUGGCUUAGAAGCAGCCAUCAUUUAAAGAGUGCGUAAUAGCUCACUAGUCGAGUGACACUGCGCCGAAAAUGUACCGGGGCUAAACAUAUUACCGAAGCUGUGGAUUGUCCUUUGGACAAUGGUAGGAGAGCGUUCUAAGGGCGUUGAAGCAUGAUCGUAAGGACAUGUGGAGCGCUUAGAAGUGAGAAUGCCGGUGUGAGUAGCGAAAGACGGGUGAGAAUCCCGUCCACCGAUUGACUAAGGUUUCCAGAGGAAGGCUCGUCCGCUCUGGGUUAGUCGGGUCCUAA